CCAGAGAAUUUAGCAGAGAUGCUUUAGUGCCUUCGGGAACUCUGAGACAGGUGCUGCAUGGCUGUCGUCAGCUCGUGUUGUUGAAAUGUUGGGUUAAGUCCCGCAACGAGCGCAACCCUUAUCCUUUGUUGCCAGCACGUAAUGGUGGGAACUCAAAGGAGACUGCCGGUGAUAAACCGGAGGAAGGUGGGGAUGACGUCAAGUCAUCAUGGCCCUUACGAGUAGGGCUACACACGUGCUACAAUGGCGCAUACAAAGAGAAGCGACCUCGCGAGAGCAAGCGGACCUCAUAAAGUGCGUCGUAGUCCGGAUUGGAGUCUGCAACUCGACUCCAUGAAGUCGGAAUCGCUAGUAAUCGUAAAUCAGAAUGUUACGGUGAAUACGUUCCCGGGCCUUGUACACACCGCCCGUCACACCAUGGGAGUGGGUUGCAAAAGAAGUAGAUAGCUUAACCUUCGGGAGGGCGUUUACCACUUUGUGAUUCAUGACUGGGGUGAAGUCGUAACAAGGUAAGCGUAGUGCU
rnacentral:rRNA from 1 species